UUUAUAGCCUAACUACCAAAUUUAUUAAAAAAAACAAAAAUAUACAUAUAUACAGCAUUUGAACACAAAAUCUAUUUCAACAAUUAAAAUAUAAGAUAUGACCAAUUCUUAAUAACUUAACAUAAUAAACAAACUCAAGAACAACACAAGUGGAUAGACAAGUUGGAAUCACGUACAUGGCGUGAUAACGGAGACUUCAAAGAAUUAAACUAGAAUAUUAACCAAAGCACAGUAAAUAUAUGAAAUGAACUAAAAGUGAGGAAUGGGCCUUUUAUUUCUGAAAGUUCCAACAUCUACAAUAAAUAGGAGCCCCAGAAAUUGCGAACCCAAAAGAUCUACGGGCGAGAAUUUCGCCGAACCCAGCAACCUUAUUCUAGCGGUGGUUUCCGACAGCAUUUUGGUAGUAGAAUCGAGGGCUGUUGGCUGAGCUUUCGUGGGUGUUUCAGAGCUGUUUCGGGGUGGAUUUUUCAGCUGAUUUUUGACAACUUCUCGAGGUCGUUUGUUUUGGUUUCUCCUUUUCGCCACUGUAAAUCUCUUGUAUGCCGAAUGUAUAUUUUGUAUACUCCAAGUAUAUCUACUGUAUAUCCAAUCUAUACAGCGUGUAUACAGAUCUCUCCUCUCCCUUCUUUUUUCCUCUUUUUCUCUUUUCUCUUUUUCUCUCCUCCCUCAGAUUUCUCGUUCCCUCCAUUAUUUGUACCC
rnacentral:lncRNA from 1 species